rnacentral:lncRNA from 1 species
UAUCCGGCUACAUCUAAAACCUGCAUUAGAAUAGAUGUAUAAUUCUUAAUUUAUCCGGCUACAUCUAAAACCUGCGUAGUGUGACGAUGACAUUUUAGUUUACAAGUUAAGGUCGUUGUGAGAUGAAGUGAGAUCCACAGCUCCGAUAAUUAAUGUAAGAAGACAGCUUAUUAUUUUUACUUUUUUUUUGCAGGUCACUAGUUUCACUAAGAGCAUCUCUAAAACACGGAGAAAUUUUACUUUUAUACUUUUACACUUUCUUUGAUAUCACUUUUCAUAUAUACACAUAAAAGGAGUACAUUUUCAGAAAUACAUAAAU